rnacentral:rRNA from 1 species
CGUACACUCCUGCGGGAGGCAGCAGUGGGGAAUAUUGCACAAUGGGCGCAAGCCUGAUGCAGCCAUGCCGCGUGUAUGAAGAAGGCCUUCGGGUUGUAAAGUACUUUCAGCGGGGAGGAAGGCGAUAAGGUUAAUAACCUUGUUGAUUGACGUUACCCGCAGAAGAAGCACCGGCUAACUCCGUGCCAGCAGCCGCGGUAAUACGGAGGGUGCAAGCGUUAAUCGGAAUUACUGGGCGUAAAGCGCACGCAGGCGGUCUGUCAAGUCGGAUGUGAAAUCCCCGGGCUCAACCUGGGAACUGCAUUCGAAACUGGCAGGCUAGAGUCUUGUAGAGGGGGGUAGAAUUCCAGGUGUAGCGGUGAAAUGCGUAGAGAUCUGGAGGAAUACCGGUGGCGAAGGCGGCCCCCUGGACAAAGACUGACGCUCAGGUGCGAAAGCGUGGGGAGCAAACAGGAUUAGAAACCCGAGUAGUCCCAU